rnacentral:hammerhead_ribozyme from 1 species
AUCCAGCUGAAGAAUUCCGAAUAGGAUGAAACACGUGUCCUAGAU